CGAGUAAUCUUUUCUCUAACUUCCAGAAUCCGUAACGUAUCAUAAACCCUAGAUGCCUUUCUAUUCUCUCUUCGUAGGUAUUCCCAAUCUGUCCGCUUUUUAUUUUUAGUUUCGUUGAUCCAAAUUUGCAUGGAUUUACGAUUUGGAAUCCUAUGAGAAAUUUUUGUUGUGGUUUUUGACAGAGAUUAUCUAAGCAGAUAAGAAUGUUCGUAUUCCCUCUCUGAUGGAAUUAACAUAAUUUUUUGCUUUUUUUUCCUUUACAAUCCAAAAGAACAAUAAUAAUUUUUUGAAUGUUCAUGUUCUCUCUCUAAUGGGAAGCCCUAAAUUCUGAUUCACAAUUCUUUUCUAUAUAGUUAAUGAUUCUCAAUUCAUUAUUGUCAUUGUUGAUUCUUAAAAAGGGAUAUUAGGGUUUGCAAAUGUGGUGCUUUCUGCAUUCGUUCCAAAGUUGAUUUACAUGCACAAGGUUUCAAUGUAUACUUUAAUAUCUUCCAAAAAUUGAGUGAAGCAAAUGUAUUUUUAAAAUCUUUCAAUUAAGCAGAAUGUUCCUGCACCACGGAUGGCCAGAUGGAUGCUCCAGCUAGAUAUGGAAAGCAAGUAUGAAGUAAAUAUUCAACUUUAGUAGGGCAGCUGCAAAUUUUCUAUUCACAUACAGUCCUGGAAUGCACACAGGUAAGCAACAUGCUUCCACAGCAUUCUGAGUCUCUGAGUUAUUUUAAAACUUGGCUAGCUUGCUUAACCUGGACGUGUUGUUUAGCAGCUUUAGCUAUAUGGUAAGUAGUUUGAGAAUUUGAGAGUCUUUAUACUGGAUAGGAAUUUUCAACCUAAGCAGUCUAACUAGAUCCGAGCCUCAUCCGGAUCAAAUUACUGCUAUAAAUUAUGUACUCCACGGGUUCGGAAGCUUGGUAAACAUCUCACUGGCAGGGACUAAAGCUGUCACAGAUAAAUGGGGGAAAUGCGCCGUGAAGGAGGAAUAUGGAGAAACUUCUAUCGAAGACGUUGAUUAGUUGAUUUCAAAAUUCAUAGAGCUGCUGACAACAUGAUCUUUUUAAAAAUUUUAAAGUUCGAUUUCCAUGUAGAGCAUUAGCUCCCUAAAU